rnacentral:rRNA from 1 species
UCGGGAAUUUUGGGCAAUGGGGGAAACCCUGACCCAGCAACGCCGCGUGAAGGAUGAAGUAUUUCGGUAUGUAAACUUCGAAAGAAUAGGAAGAAUAAAUGACGGUACUAUUUAUAAGGUCCGGCUAACUACGUGCCAGCAGCCGCGGUAAUACGUAGGGACCAAGCGUUGUUCGGAUUUACUGGGCGUAAAGGGCGCGUAGGCGGCAUGACAAGUCACUUGUGAAAUCUCUGGGCUUAACCCAGAACGGCCAAGUGAUACUGUCGCGCUAGAGUGCAGAAGGGGCAAUCGGAAUUCUUGGUGUAGCGGUGAAAUGCGUAGAUAUCAAGAGGAACACCUGAGGUGAAGACGGGUUGCUGGGCUGACACUGACGCUGAGGCGCGAAAGCCAGGGGAGCAAACGGGAUUAGAUACCCCCGUAGUCCUGAGCGGGCUGGCAAGGCGCAU